CUGUAGUGAGUCAAGAGUAAUUCAAAGGGGGUACAGCCCCUUUAAAAAAGAACACAGUCUCCCCUAGCGGAUAACUAUUUAACCCCGUUCCACAAGCUGUAGGCCCUUAAGCAGCCACCAACAAAGAGUGCGUCAAAGCUCCCCACCCAAAGAUACAAAGACAAUAUGAAUCCCUUACCACUAACAGGCCAACCUAUACCAAUAGAGGAAUUACUGCUAGAAUGAGUAACUAGGGGCUUCCCUCUCGAGCGCGACGUUACACCAACUACGUUAUUAACAGACCCUCUAAUACCCAAAGCCCUACAAGACCAGGUAUUAAAAUCUCCCUGUUAACCCGAUCACGGAGCGCCCAUUAGAAGGAUUAAAAUCUGUAAAAGGAAUCAGGCAAACUCAAGGCCCGACUGUUUACCAAAAACAUAGCCUUCAGCCUGCCAAGUAUUGAAGGUGAUGCCUGCCCAGUGACACUCUGUUCAACGGCCGCGGUAUCCUAACCGUGCGAAGGUAGCGCAAUCAAUUGUCCCAUAAAUCGAGACUUGUAUGAACGGCUAAACGAGGUCUUAACUGUCUCUUACAGAUAAUCAGUGAAAUUGAUCUUCCCGUGCAAAAGCGGGAAUAAACACAUAAGACGAGAAGACCCUGUGGAACUUAAAAAUCAGCGGCCACUACAUACAAACCCAACCCUAUCAGGCCUCACCUCCCCAUAAAUGCUGGCUCGCAUUUUUCGGUUGGGGCGACCUUGGAGAAAAACAAAUCCUCCAAAAAUAAGACCACCCCUCUUAACCAAGAGCAACCCCUCAACGUACUAACAGUAACCAGACCCAAUACAGUUGACUAAUGGACCAAGCUACCCCAGGGAUAACAGCGCAAUCUCCUUCAAGAGCCCAUAUCGACAAGGAGGUUUACGACCUCGAUGUUGGAUCAGGACAUCCUAAUGGUGCAGUCGCUAUUAAGGGUUCGUUUGUUCAACGAUUAAUAGUCCUACGUGAUCUGAGUUCAGACCGGAGCAAUCCAGGUCGGUUUCUAUCUAUGCUGUACUUUUCCCAGUACGAAAGGACCGGAAAAGUGAGGCCAAUACUACAAGCACGCCUUCCCUAUAAGUAAUGCCCCCCACUAAAUUACCAAUAGGAUACCCACAUCCCUUCCACAUCCUAGAAAAGGACCGCUAGCGUGGCGCAUGAGCUCGGUAAAUGCAA
rnacentral:rRNA from 1 species